AGUCCAUGGUGUGGAUAUUUUCGAAACAAAUCUCUAAACCUUUCACAUGUUUCAUAUAAUGAUUCUCUCUCCAGUUGACGAAAACUAAUAAUGUCCAUUCUAAACUU